UACGUAGGGUGCGAGCGUUAAUCGGAAUUACUGGGCGUAAAGCGUGCGCAGGCGGUUAUGCAAGACAGAUGUGAAAUCCCCGGGCUCAACCUGGGAACUGCAUUUGUGACUGCAUGACUAGAGUACGGCAGAGGGGGAUGGAAUUCCGCGUGUAGCAGUGAAAUGCGUAGAUAUGCGGAGGAACACCGAUGGCGAAGGCAAUCCCCUGGGCCUGUACUGACGCUCAUGCACGAAAGCGUGGUGAGCAAACAGG
rnacentral:rRNA from 1 species